UUGAGCUUAAAAUCAAACUUAAAAUAGUUCUGGCUUCGAUACAGAGAAGAUUAGCAUGGCCCCUGCACAAGGAUGACAUGCAAAUUCAUGAAGCGUUACAUAUUUAA